CAGGUAAACACCUAUAUUAAUCGGCGCUGAUCAAAUUUGUAUCAAAAUGUAGAAAUUCGCACGUUUUGAUUGGUUCUUGUGCCACUGACGAAGACGACUGCAGUAUUGGGUACGCCCUUUAUGGAAACUGGGUAUGAGACUCACCUGUAGCCGACUGAUCAGUGGAUGUUGAUGUUUAAGAAAUAUCCAGGUGUGGAAUUGGUGUAAGAAUAAAUGUGAAAAGAAGUUCCCACGCUGUUUCAUCGAAAAUUAGGUGCUGAAAAUACGAGUAUAUCAUUUUUUAUGUUGACGCUCACCAUAGCAAAAAUAAA